rnacentral:lncRNA from 1 species
GAGGUUGGGACAGCCAGACAUGAGGGAAUACGUGGGGUAUUUAUAGUUUAUUUAAAGAACAUCAUUUGAUGCCUUCUAAAGUAGAACUGGGAGGAAAUUUCUAUUAGUGAUAAUACACUACUGUAGAUAGUUUUUCUUUUUAUAAAUGUUUAAGAAGAAGAUGAUUUUUAAAAAGCAUUCAUAUCCCUGGCGGGGGAAUCCCCACUAGCACACUGAAAACGGGAAGUGCCGCCAGACCCCGUGUUUGCUUUGGGGUCAGUGGUAGUGGUCCCCAGAGAAACCAGUAGGGCCAGUUGUGUAGCCUCACCCACCAUAAACCAAAAGCCCACUUUGGUUUCAUAUCGAAAAUCAGUAACUGGGCUGAGCUCUAUUUGUGACAUAAUUUUUUUCAUGACACACCUUCUGAUCUCUCUGUGUAUAGUCAAUUAGAACAUCAGCAAUGAAAGAUAUUUUUAAUUUAAUCAUAUCAAAAUGCAUAAUACAAUUGUAUGAAUGUGUGUGAGAGUGAGACUGAGAGUGUGAGACCUUUAUAGUCAACUAGAAAAGCUGUGACGGGUUGGUUUCUCAUGGUUAAAAUAGUUGAAAAAGCAAGUAAAUAUU